GCUGGAGUGGCCGAGUGGUCGAGGCACAGGCCUGCAAAGCCUGACACGCGGGUUCGAAUCCCGUCUCCAGCU
rnacentral:tRNA from 1 species